GACGAACGCUGGCGGCGUGCCUAAUACAUGCAAGUCGAGCGGACCGAAUGGAAGCUUGCUUUCAUUCGGUUAGCGGCGGACGGGUGAGUAACACGUGGGUAACCUGCCCGUAAGACCGGGAUAACUCCGGGAAACCGGGGCUAAUACCGGAUAACACCGAAGACCGCAUGGUCUUCGGUUGAAAGGUGGCUUCGGCUACCACUUACGGAUGGGCCCGCGGCGCAUUAGCUAGUUGGUGAGGUAACGGCUCACCAAGGCGACGAUGCGUAGCCGGCCUGAGAGGGUGACCGGCCACACUGGGACUGAGACACGGCCCAGACUCCUACGGGAGGCAGCAGUAGGGAAUCUUCCGCAAUGGACGAAAGUCUGACGGAGCGACGCCGCGUGAGCGAAGAAGGUCUUCGGAUCGUAAAGCUCUGUUGUUAGGGACGAAGAAGUACCGUUCGAAUAGGGCGGUACGGUGACGGUACCUAACGAGAAAGCCCCGGCUAACUACGUG
rnacentral:rRNA from 1 species